UGCCUUACACAUGCAAGUCGAACGGCAGGCACGGGAGCAAUCCUGGUGGCGAGUGGCGAACGGGUGAGUAAAGUAUCGGAACGUGCCCAGUCGUGGGGAUAACGUAGCGAAAGUUACGCUAAUACCGCAUACGAUCUAUGGAUGAAAGCGGGGGAUCGCAAGACCUCGCGCGAUUGGAGCGGCCGAUAUCAGAUUAGGUAGUUGGUGGGGUAAAGGCUCACCAAGCCGACGAUCUGUAGCUGGUCUGAGAGGACGACCAGCCACACUGGGACUGAGACACGGCCCAGACUCCUACGGGAGGCAGCAGUGGGGAAUUUUGGACAAUGGGCGCAAGCCUGAUCCAGCCAUGCCGCGUGCAGGAUGAAGGCCUUCGGGUUGUAAACUGCUUUUGUACGGAACGAAAAGGUUUGGCCUAAUAAGCUGAGCUCAUGACGGUACCGUAAGAAUAAGCACCGGCUAACUACGUG
rnacentral:rRNA from 1 species